GACGAACGCUGGCGGCGUGCUUAACACAUGCAAGUCGAACGGAAAGGCCCUGCUUUUGUGGGGUGCUCGAGUGGCGAACGGGUGAGUAACACGUGAGUAACCUGCCCUUGACUUUGGGAUAACUUCAGGAAACUGGGGCUAAUACCGGAUAGGAGCUCCUGCUGCAUGGUGGGGGUUGGAAAGUUUCGGCGGUUGGGGAUGGACUCGCGGCUUAUCCGCUUGUUGGUGGGGUAGUGGCUUACCAAGGCUUUGACGGGUAGCCGGCCUGAGAGGGUGACCGGCCAAAUUGGGACUGAGAUACGGCCCAGACUCCAACGGGAGGCAGCAGUGGGGAAUAUUGAACAAUGGGAGGAAGCCUGAUGCAGCAACGCCGCGUGCGGGAUGACGGCCUUCGGGUUGUAAACCGAUUUCGCCUGUGACGAAGAGUGAGUGACGGUAAUGGGUAAAGAAGCACCGGCUAACUACGUG
rnacentral:rRNA from 1 species